AGGACGAACGCUGGCGGCGUGCUUAACACAUGCAAGUCGAGCGGAAAGGCCCUUCGGGGUACUCGAGCGGCGAACGGGUGAGUAAUACGUGAGCAACCUGCCCUUAGCUCUGGGAUAGCUCCGGGAAACCGGAAUUAAUACCGGAUAUGACCUAGGCCGACAUCGGCCGUGGUGGAAAGUUUUUCGGCUAGGGAUGGACUCGCGGCCUAUCAGCUAGUUGGUGGGGUAAUGGCCUACCAAGGCGACGACGGGUAGCCGGCCUGAGAGGGCGACCGGCCACACUGGGACUGAGACACGGCCCAGACUCCUACGGGAGGCAGCAGUGGGGAAUCUUGCGCAAUGGGCGAAAGCCUGACGCAGCGACGCCGCGUGGGGGAUGAAGGCCUUCGGGUUGUAACCCCUUUCAGCAGGGACGAAGCGAAAGUGACGGUACCUGCAGAAGAAGCGCCGGCUAACUACGCGCCAGCAGCCGC
rnacentral:rRNA from 1 species